UGAGCAGUUUUCAGUAAUACACUUCUUUUUAAUUACUCUACUUCUGGCUUUUCUUUUUUAUGUGGCGAGAGGGG
rnacentral:ribozyme from 1 species